UCCGUUGCAAAGCUGUUAGUGAAGCGUGAAAUGACCAUACUAACCCUAGCUAGCUCGUUCCACACAAAAAAAGGCCUUCUGGACAGUGUUCUCCUUGCAGCUUAACAUCGAUCGAUCAUCGGAAACUGCCGGCCUUGGUGGUUGGUCAUAAUUCCGAGGGAUCUUAGAUUAAUUCCCUGCCGGCCCACUCAUCAGAACGACGAUGCUACAGGAGGAACAACAACAACACGCUGUCAGUUGUCACAUUGCUGUGCACAAGCUAGCUAGUAGUGCACGUACUCUCGCAUGCACGACCGAAUAUAUGUGAAAGGGGAUCGAUCAGCAUGCAGCUAGCUAUAGCUAGAGACACGUACUGCAGAUAGAAAGAGCACGUACGGGAAUCCUGAUCGAUUUUAUUCGAUGCAACUUUGGCCCUUGUUGGUGCAUGUCCCAUCCCAUGAGCAGUGUACUAUACGUGAUCGAUGUUGUGAACACGUAUGUACGUACAGAUGGAUCGAUGGUGUAAAGUGGCCCAGCUGCUAAAGGUAGCUAUACGUAGGGAUGCAUGCAGUAGUAACAUGGCGUGCACUCUUGUUGGGUGUACGAGUACAUGCAUAUGUCGAGUCGGUGCAUAUAUAUUUUUCGUUUCAAUACAUGCUCUAGCUCAUGCACGCAGGUUUCUGUAA